GACGAACGCUGGCGGCGUGCUUAACACAUGCAAGUCGAACGGAAAGGCCCUGCUUUUGUGGGGUGCUCGAGUGGCGAACGGGUGAGUAACACGUGAGUAACCUGCCCUUGACUUUGGGAUAACUUCAGGAAACUGGGGCUAAUACCGGAUAGGAGCUCCUGCUGCAUGGUGGGGGUUGGAAAGUUUCGGCGGUUGGGGAUGGACUCGCGGCUUAUCAGCUUGUUGGUGGGGUAGUGGCUUACCAAGGCUUUGACGGGUAGCCGGCCUGAGAGGGUGACCGGCCACAUUGGGACUGAGAUGCGGCCCAGACUCCUACGGGAGGCAGCAGUGGGGAAUAUUGCACAAUGGGCGGAAGCCUGAUGCAGCAACGCCGCGUGCGGGAUGACGGCCUUCGGGUUGUAAACCGCUUUCGCCUGUGACGAAGCGUGAGUGACGGUAAUGGGUAAAGAAGCACCGGCUAACCACGUG
rnacentral:rRNA from 1 species